UUUAAAUGUUUUGGGGUUUUUUUUCUUUUAGUGAACAGAACCAGUCUCUUCAUUUCUUAAAAAUAAAUAACUUGACCUUCUUUAAUCCUAAAAAUAUACCUUUAGAGAUAUACAUCUUUAUUAAGUCUAGAAUUGGUGAGUUAUAUUGAGGCAAUAUUUGCCUGGCCUGGCACUCCAUUAAGGCAUUAUUCAUGUGCAAGACCCAGAUACUCAUACAUACAUUGUUUAACUGAAUUAACACAUUCAUGUUCAUUAAAUUCCUUUUUCAAAUGGUAAAACCAGAAACAUUCUUUAACAAAAUUAGCAAACAUGAAAUAUUUCCCAAAGAGAAAUGCCAUGAACUAGCACAUAAGAACACAUUAUAUAUUUCCAUAUUAGAUAACUAUUUCAUGACCAGAUCAACAAAAGAACUCUUCCAAGUUCAAACUCAAGAAUGGUUAUGAAGAACAGCAUACUAUGACUGAUUGUGACAAAGGCAGAUUUGUAUUUAUGUUACUUGAAAAGUGGAUAAAUAUGUACAUAUGUGAACAGAAUGCAUAUACUUCAUAUAUUUAUAGGAAGUUUUAAGAAGGAAAGAAAAAUAAUGAAACUACCAGUAAUAGCAUUUUACAUCAAUUUUUCAGAAAUAUAAAUAAGAACACAAAGCAUGUAAUGCUCAAUUGUAAUACGGAUUGCUAAGCUUCCUAAUCAUAUUUAACACUGGAAUUCUACAUACUAUUAAAUGGAAAUUUGUACAGAACUCAAUAGCAAAAUUCCCAUUUACUUUAAUAGAGACAAGAUUUAACUCUUGGUCAUAGCACAAAUUACUUCAUGGUUUAUAUUCAGAACAGUUACUUUCCAUAGAGCACAAAAGAGUAAACACUACCAGUACGAUCACAAUUCCUGUCAAAGAAAAGAAAAAUUGCAUCUCAGCAUAUUCCUGAAUGAGAUCAGAAUCUGGACUGUAUGGCUUGGACCAUUUCUUUCUCCAAAUGUACACAGGGUCCAGGGUCACAGGUUUGUCCUGGGAAAUGUAUAUAUAUCUCUAUAAAGAAAUUCCCACAAACAUUCUCACAUAAAGAUGCCAAAGCAAUAAUAAUGUGGAAGUCUCCUCUGCUACCCAUACAUCAAUGUGAAAAUUAUCCAUUUGUUUCAUUCUUACUUAGGUUUUGCACAUUUCAGCAAGACAGGUCCACAACUGGAAGUUGUUUCAAACUUCUCACUUCUUGAAACAUUAGUGGAGCGUUUAUUGGGACUU
rnacentral:lncRNA from 1 species